rnacentral:ncRNA from 20 species
UGAUGUCAUGCAGGAGAAGAAUUUAUUUUCGCCGAAGGAGUUAUACUCUCAGGUGUUCAGUUUUUGAACGGGACUGUUUGAU